rnacentral:lncRNA from 1 species
GUUAUUAUCUUGAAUAUUAUUAUAGAUAGAGAUAAACUGUAAACAUCAAUAAUGUUAAGCAAAGUAAGCUUUACAAAUAAGUCAACAUGACGGAAAUGGUCAAUUGACCCCUAAGGAGUUAUUGUCCUUUAUAGUCAAUUUUUAACAAUUUUCAUAAAAUUUGUAAAUUUUAACUAACAUUUUCCACUGAAACUACUGGACCAAGUUCAUUAUAGAUAGAGAUAAUUGUAAGCAGCAAGAAUGUUCAGUAAAGUAAGAUGUACAAACACAUCACCAUCACCAAAACACAAUUUUGUCAUGAAUCCAUCUGCUUCCUUUGUUUAAUAUUCACAUAGACCAAGGUGAGCGACACAGGCUCUUUAGAGCCUCUAGUUUUCACAUGUCGCACCGUAUCUCAAAAACAAUUCUUGAUUAUCGCUUAAAACUUGAAACACUUCUUCGUUAUAAUAAUCUUAAUAUCUGUAUACUUUUUGGUGAUGAUUCAAAAUUUCAUUUUUGAGUUAUUGAGUAUUUUGUAAAAAAGGGGGAGG